UAUUUUCUGUCUGUUGAGAAAUGGACUGAUUUAGAAACUGAACAUAAUAGCUGGGUCCCAGUACUAUACUUUGCCCAAGGAAUCUUCCAAAUUGCCACAGAAAAUUGAACCUGUCAAAAGGAGUUCCAGAUGUGAGGGAACAUAUCUCCACAAAUGCUUUGGGAUGCAUAAAACAGGAACAAAAGGAAUCUCAUGUAUUUUCA